rnacentral:rRNA from 1 species
AGAGUUUGAUCCUGGCUCAGGAUUAACGCUGGCGGCGUGCCUAACACAUGCAAGUCGAACGCGGUAGCAAUACCGAGUGGCAGACGGGUGAGUAACACGUGGUCAACCUACCCUUGAGUGGGGGAUAACUAGCCGAAAGGUUAGCUAAUACCGCAUACGUCGCCCUGGGGCAUCCUGGGGUGAUAAAAGGAGCGAUCCGC